UACAGAGGUGGCAAGCGUUGUUCGGAAUUACUGGGCGUAAAGGGUGCGUAGGUGGUUGUUUAAGUCUGUUGUGAAAGCCCCGGGCUCAACCUGGGAAUGGCAAUGGAUACUGGACAGCUAGAGUGCGGUAGAGGGUAGUGGAAUUCCCGGUGUAGCAGUGAAAUGCGUAGAGAUGGGAGGAACACCAGUGGCGAAGGCGGCUACCUGGACCAGCACUGACACUGAAGCACGAAAGCGUGGGGAGCAAACA
rnacentral:rRNA from 1 species